CGUAAACUUUGAGCGUAAAAUUUUGACAGAAUAAUUUACCGCGCGCUUUUCAUCGCACAUGGUAAACAAACGAAAAACAAAAAGCGAUCGCAAUGGAAAACACAAAAAAAACAGUCCGGAACUACGCAAAACAGGAUAUCGAGCAAAGCCGUGCCGUGAUAGAGGCAGUAAGUAAGCGUCCAUCCUUAUGGAAUAAGAAGUUGGACAGCUAUAAAAAUCGAAACGUCCAAAAUGAUGGGUGGACGGCUAUAGGUAGUGAGGUAGGGCUUCCAACUGCUGAAGCUAAAGCAGUGUGGAAAAACCUCCUCAACUCCUAUAGGACGUACAGGAG